GCAGUCGAACGGUGAAGCCAAGCUUGCUUGGUGGAUCAGUGGCGAACGGGUGAGUAACACGUGAGCAACCUGCCCUGGACUCUGGGAUAAGCGCUGGAAACGGCGUCUAAUACUGGAUAUGAGACGUGAUCGCAUGGUCGUGUUUGGAAAGAUUUUUCGGUCUGGGAUGGGCUCGCGGCCUAUCAGCUUGUUGGUGAGGUAAUGGCUCACCAAGGCGUCGACGGGUAGCCGGCCUGAGAGGGUGACCGGCCACACUGGGACUGAGACACGGCCCAGACUCCUACGGGAGGCAGCAGUGGGGAAUAUUGCACAAUGGGCGGAAGCCUGAUGCAGCAACGCCGCGUGAGGGAUGACGGCCUUCGGGUUGUAAACCUCUUUUAGCAGGGAAGAAGCGAAAGUGACGGUACCUGCAGAAAAAGCGCCGGCUAACUACGUGCCAGCAGCCGCGGUAAUACGUAGGGCGCAAGCGUUAUCCGGAAUUAUUGGGCGUAAAGAGCUCGUAGGCGGUUUGUCGCGUCUGCUGUGAAAUCCCGAGGCUCAACCUCGGGCCUGCAGUGGGUACGGGCAGACUAGAGUGCGGUAGGGGAGAUUGGAAUUCCUGGUGUAGCGGUGGAAUGCGCAGAUAUCAGGAGGAACACCGAUGGCGAAGGCAGAUCUCUGGGCCGUAACUGACGCUGAGGAGCGAAAGGGUGGGGAGCAAACAGGCUUAGAUACCCUGGUAGUCCACCCCGUAAACGUUGGGAACUAGUUGUGGGGACCAUUCCACGGUUUCCGUGACGCAGCUAACGCAUUAAGUUCCCCGCCUGGGGAGUACGGCCGCAAGGCUAAAACUCAAAGGAAUUGACGGGGACCCGCACAAGCGGCGGAGCAUGCGGAUUAAUUCGAUGCAACGCGAAGAACCUUACCAAGGCUUGACAUAUACGAGAACGGGCCAGAAAUGGUCAACUCUUUGGACACUCGUAAACAGGUGGUGCAUGGUUGUCGUCAGCUCGUGUCGUGAGAUGUUGGGUUAAGUCCCGCAACGAGCGCAACCCUCGUUCUAUGUUGCCAGCACGUAAUGGUGGGAACUCAUGGGAUACUGCCGGGGUCAACUCGGAGGAAGGUGGGGAUGACGUCAAAUCAUCAUGCCCCUUAUGUCUUGGGCUUCACGCAUGCUACAAUGGCCGGUACAAAGGGCUGCAAUACCGUGAGGUGGAGCGAAUCCCAAAAAGCCGGUCCCAGUUCGGAUUGAGGUCUGCAACUCGACCUCAUGAAGUCGGAGUCGCUAGUAAUCGCAGAUCAGCAACGCUGCGGUGAAUACGUUCCCGGGUCUUGUACACACCGCCCGUCAAGUCAUGAAAGUCGGUAACACCUGAAGCCGGUGGCCCAACCC
rnacentral:rRNA from 2 species